rnacentral:rRNA from 1 species
AACGAGAAAACUGAAUAGCUUGCUAAUUGGUUUUCUAGUGGCGGACGGGUUAGUAACACGUGAGCAACCUGCCUCGAAGCGGGGGAUAGCCUUUCGAAAGAGAGAUUAAUACCGCAUGUGACCUACGGGUUAAAGGUGCCUUCGGGUGCCGUUUCGAGAUGGGCUCGCGGCCUAUCAGCUUGUUGGUGAGGUAACGGCUCACCAAGGCGACGACGGGUAGCUGGUCUGAGAGGACGAUCAGCAACACUGGAACUGAGACACGGUCCAGACACCUACGGGUGGCAGCAGUCGAGAAUCAUUCACAAUGGGGGCAACCCUGAUGGUGCAACGCCGCGUGGAGGAUGAAGGCCCUAGGGUCGUAAACUCCUGUCAUAUGAGAGUAAGGCAUAUGUGUUAAUAGCAUGUAUGUUUGAUAGUAUCGUAAGAGGAAGGGACGGCUAACUUCGUGCCAGCAGCCGCGGUAAUACGAAGGUCCCGAGCGUUAUUCGGAAUCACUGGGCGUAAAGAGUACGUAGGCGGUUUGGUAAGUCAGGUGUGAAAUCCCGGGGCUCAACCCCGGAACUGCAUCCGAUACUGCCAGACUGGAGUAAUGGAGAGGCAGGUGGAAUUCUCGGUGUAGCAGUGAAAUGCGUGGAUAUCGAGAGGAAGACCAAUGGCGAAGGCAGCCUGCUGGACAUUUACUGACGCUGAGGUACGAAGGCCAGGGUAGCGAAAGGGAUUAGAUACCCCUGUAGUCCUGGCAGUAAACGGUGCGCGCUUGGUGUGGGAGGACUCGACCCCUUCUGUGCCGGAGCUAACGCG